CUGCCUCACAUGGGGCACGUCACUCUCAAUGGAAAAGUGUUCAAGUGCAGUCAGAGUGAAGCUGAAAGAAAAACCAACAACCAGUUAAAAAUAGUACAAAGAAAUUUUCUCUCUUGCGAUCUGCAAGCAGUAGCUGUAUCCGAAAAUGGAAAUGUGUAAAAAUUGUGUCCCAGCAGACGAGCAGCAGUGCGAUUAUUGCAAAAUGCAAGGGCAAGGGCCCACGUAGUAUUUUUCCACGUCGGGCAUUAUUGGCUCUCGAGUUGGAAACAAAGAAGUCAGACUGCAAACCCACUGGAAAAAUGUGAUUAGUCAUCAAUUUUGCUGGUCAGCGUCGGGGAAUUUCGCAAUGCGGGAAACAGUUUUCUUGAAUUUGGCUAGAAAGUGAUACACUAGGCAGUCUGAGGCAGUUAUCCAGGAUGUCAGGACGUGCAGUACUCUGUGUCGAAUGGCGAUGGCCCUGACCUGCGGAUUUUGAAAGCUUACGAUAGGAAGCCAGGUAUACAUACACAGCAACGAAUGCAGCGUGUUCGAUAUUCUUAAUUCGUAAGCCCAACCUAUGUUUAAGACGUAGUCUAUAACCGAAUGUAGCGAAAUACGUUUUUAAACGUCGCAUCAAAGCCAUUUAUUCUGAAGCCUUUGCAAUUUCAUCAUGUUGCGUAAUCGCGAAUUGUAAAUGUUUCCCUACUAUUUUACAUUGUAUGUGUAUAUCUGUAUUCAAGUCGAAAAUGCUCGAACUAUUCUCGUCCGCAACCCCCCCGGAUCGAACGGCCACCAACUGCCUCGCUCUCUUUAUAAACAGCGUACUCAUACGCCCCGUUUACAAUCGCCUCUCUACCAUUCGGGUAUACACAUUUUAUAUAUAUAUUUAUAUAUAUAUAUAUACACUUAAAGUGUACAACGGUAGCUGCGCACCGACCUCUUUACUUGCCUUUCCUCAGUUUUGCUUCCCGAUACUUAUAUAUGUAUGUAUGUAUGUAUAAGGUGUUUUUCAGCGGAAAUGUCGGCAGCCUGACUUUGUCCCAUCACGUCUCUGUCGCUUCUUUUGGCUAUUUAAUCUACAUAGAUCCUAGUCGACUUAACAUUUAUCUAGCUGUUAAUCUUAUUUGUAACCAUCUCUAUAUGCUACCUGCCAUACCACUUAACCAAGCAAUAUGUAUUUCUUUCUCUAAACUUUAUAGUUGGGCGUUGAAAGUUGAUAUCGAUAUCGAUCCGUGAAAAGUCGAUACCCUGCGCAAGCAUGGGGCGGCAUAUGGGUGCUGAAAGUGCACUCGGCCCGAUCCAGAUUGCAGCGUUAUUCAAAAGCUGAGUCUGCGACCGUGACUGAGAUCAUAUGCGUAUAUAUAUCUAAUGUCCGGGGUCGUAGGCCAGCCAGGGUGCUCAAUUCGGUCAGAUUGAUUGUGCGGAUUGUGUUAUAGGAACACUGGUGUAUCGACUUCUCUGCUCCACUAUGGGUGAAGGAUACCCUCCCGAAAAGGCCUUCUGUCGCUUACUAUCACCGAACAAGUUCCGUAACGGGCAGACAUACGUAAACGUGGCAGCACAUUCCGUUCAAUGACACAUCGUCUCUGGAUUAGUAAUUGAACCAACGAGCACGAAUAUACCCUGCCAGUUGGUUGUAAAUAUUAAUUUUGUUCUUUUGUUCAGUUGUAAAAUCAAUACGGAAUACAUUUCCACACCAACCAUGUGUCACUUAUGUUCUUAAAUACCUGAAACUGUUUAAAUUUUUGUUCUUAUACACUUCACAAAUUAAGAAUUAACUGUACUGAUGUAAGUGUACCUAUUGAAGCACAACAAAAAUAGAAAAAAUGAAAAAUUAUUAACAAAAGAGCUCUAUACUAGAAAAGCCACAGAAGAAGUAAAUAAAAAAUUCCAAAAUUCAACAAAUAAAUCUCGAAACAUUUGCUCGUGAUAUUUUUAUUUCAAGAAAAGAUCCGAUUUCAGUUGUACCAUCUAGCUUAAAUGUAGCGUUGAAAGAAUACUCCUAGUCCCUCGGAGGAAGGGCCCUUAUCAAGAUGCCAAUAGCGUUCGUCUCAUACACAAAUUACUCAGACGUUCUAGUGUCUACAAUUGAGGAAAGGGCUAUUGAUCUCAUUUGGGCGCUAAAAGUUUGUAUUGGAACGAGAUUGAAGGUUUAAAAUCAGCUGAAAAGUACGUAUAAAUAUUCCGCUUUAUUUUUCUCCACAUUUAUAGGACUUCAAAACUAUAUUUAUUGGACAAGUCAACGGAAGUUCUUUUGUUUGGAGUUCGCCAAUGACGUACACCGUUACACUUAUUCUUGCGCACAAGAUAAAAUUAUGUUUUGAUUGACAAAUAAACAUAUACGUUCUAAAUGAUUCGAUGUACUCAAUUAAUGUACCAAAGCAAAUUAUACAGGCGACUCGUGUUACAUUAAGAGAACUGCAGAAAUAUAUAGUUAUAUAGUUAUAUAGUUAUAUAUAGAUAUAGCAUAACAAAUAGAAAAUUUAAGGAUCUAAACGGUGUACUUUCAAUAAACCAUUCUGAUCUUUGAUCAUUUAAAUCUGCAAUGAAAAAUUGUAUUCAUUACAAGGUAUAAUACUUUUUAUACCACAGUAACAUGAAAAAUUCAAAAAGCCCAUAUAUUAUCUUUCGGAACCGCUUAGCCUAAUGGUCAAGUAAACUAAAAUUUAUAUACAAUAAUUUAUUUACAUAGGUAGUGUACGAUAUACAUACAUAUAACUGUCUUCCAAAAAUCGAGUUAUUUUGAAACUCUAAAAGAUCUUGCAAGGUCGGACCUAAAGGUCAACUUAAUAGGUAGGUAUAGAUCUUAAGGUAAAAUCAACUGAAAAUUGUAAAAUCCAUAUAGGUAGGGUGUGAUAUUAAUCUGUUCCCAUUCACGAUCUCGUUUCAUAAUCAACUACAAAAUAAGAAAAACUUGAAAGGUAGGAUUUAUGAAGAAUUCUAAUUGACUUAAUAGGUAGGAAUUGAACUUACGCUGUUUUUUAUAUGGUAUACGUCGGCAACUACAACAUAAGCCACAAUAAUAUGAACCCUUCAAUAUUAGGUAUGAUUUAUCUCUAUUACCCCAAACAUUAUCCGUCGAAAAGGCUUAGCCUCUUGGUAAAAUCAACUUAAAAUUGUAAAAUCCAUAUAGGUUGGAUGUGAUAUUUAACUGUUCCCAUACAUGAUCGCGUUUCAUAAUCAACUACAAAAUAAGAAAAUCUUCAAAGGUAGGAUUUAUGAAGAAUUCUAAUUGACUUAAUAGGUAGAAAUUGAACUUACGCUGUUUUUUAUAUGGUAUACGUCGGCAACUACAACAUAAGCCACAAUAAUAUGAACCCUUCAAUAUUAGGUAUGAUUUAUCUCUAUUACCCCAAACAUUAUCCGUCGAAAAGGCUUAGCCUCUUGGUAAAAUCAACUUAAAAUUGUAAAAUCCAUAUAGGUUGGAUGUGAUAUUUAACUGUUCCCAUACAUGAUCGCGUUUCAUAAUCAACUACAAAAUAAGAAAAUCUUCAAAGGUAGGAUUUAUGAAGAAUUCUAAUUGACUUAAUAGGUAGAAAUUGAACUUACGCUGUUUUUUAUAUGGUAUACGUCGGCAACUACAACAUAAACCACAAUAUUAUGAUCCCUUUAAUAAUAGGUAUGAUUUAUCUCUAUUACCCCAGUAAUAAUCAGUCGAAAGGGCUUAUCAUCUCGGUAAAAUCAACCCAAAAUUGUAAAAUCCAUAUAGGUAGAGGUGAUGUUAAACCGUUCCCAUUCACGAUACUUCAGCAACUACAACAUAAACGACAAAAAUAUGAACCCUUCAAUAAUAAGUAUAAUUUAACUCGAUUACCCCAAACAUAAUCAGUCAAAAAGCCUUUGCCUCUUGGUAAAAUCAACUUAAAAUUGUAAAAUCCAUAUAGGUUGGAUGUGAUAUUUAACUGUUCCCAUACAUGAUCGCGUUUCAUAAUCAACUACAAAAUAAGAAAAACUUGAAAGGUAGGAUUUAUGAAGAAUUCUAAUUGAAUUAAUAGGUAGGAAUUGAACUUACGCUGUUUUUUAUAUGGUAUACGUCGGCAACUACAACAAAAGCCACAAUAAUAUGAACCCUUCAAUUUUAGGAAUGAUUUAUCUCUAUUACCCCAAACAUUAUCAGUCGAAAAGCUUAGCCUCUUGGUAAAAUCAACUCAAAAUUGUAAAAUCCAUAUAGGUAGGAUGUGUUAUUACACUGUUCCCAUAAACGAUCGCGUUUCAUUAUCAACUACAAAAUAAGAAAAACUUGAAAGGUAGGAUCUUGAAGAAUUCUUAUUGAUUUAAUAGGUAGGAAUUGAACUUACGCUGUUUUUUAUAUGGUAUACGUCGGCAACUACAACAAAAGCCACAAUAAUAUGAACCCUUCAAUUUUAGGAAUGAUUUAUCUCUAUUACCCCAAACAUAAUCAGUCGAAAAGCUUAGCCUCUUGGUAAAAUCAACUCAAAAUUGUAAAAUCCAUAUAGGUUGGAUGUGAUAUUUAACUGUUCCCAUACAUGAUCGCGUUUCAUAAUCAACUACAAAAUAAGAAAAACUUGAAAGGUAGGAUUUAUGAAGAGUUCUAAUUGACUUAAUAGGUAGGAAUUGAACUUACGCUGUUUUUUUAUAUGGUAUACGUCGGCAACUACAACAUAAACCACAAUAUUAUGAUCCCUUUAAUAAUAGGUAUGAUUUAUUUCUAUUACCCCAAAAAUAAUCAGUCGAAAGGGCUUAUCAUCUCGGUAAAAUCAACUCAAAAUUGUAAAAUCCAUAUAGGUAAAGGCGAUGUUAAACCGUUCCCAUUCACGAUACUUCAGCAACUACAACAUAAACCACAAAAAUAUGAACCCUUCAAUAAUAGGUCUAAUUUAUCGCUAUUACCCCAAACAUUAUCAGUCGAAAAGUCUUAGCCUUUUCGUUAAAUCAACUUUAAAUUGUAAAAUCCAUAUAAAUAGGGUGUGAUAUUAAACUGUUCCCAUUCACGAUCGCGUUUCAUAAUCAACUACAAAACAAGAAAAACUUGAAAGGUAGGAUUUAUAAAGAAUUCUAAUUGACUUAUUAGGUAGGAAUUGAACUUACGCUGUUUUUUAUAUGGUAUACGUCGGCAACUACAACAUAAGCCACAAUAAUAUGAACCCUUCAAUAUUAGGUAUGAUUUAUCUCUAUUACCCCAAACAUUAUCAGUCGAAAAGGCUUAGCCUCUUGGUAAAAUCAACUUAAAAUUGUAAAAUCCAUAUAGGUUGGAUGUGAUAUUUAACUGUUCCCAUACAUGAUCGCGUUUCAUAAUCAACUACAAAAUACGAAAAACUUGAAAGGUAGGAUUUAUGAAGAAUUCUAAUUGACUUAAUAGGUAGGAAUUGAACUUACGCUGUUUUUUAUAUGGUAUACGUCGGCAACUACAACAUAAGCCACAAUAAUAUGAACCCUUCAAUAUUAGGUAUGAUUUAUCUCUAUUACCCCAAACAUUAUCAGUCGAAAAGGCUUAGCCUCUUGGUGAUAUCAACUCAAAAUUGUAAAAUCCAUAUAGAUAGGAUGUGAUAUUAGUCUGUUCCCAUACUCGAUCGCAUUUCAUAAUCAAUUACAAAAUAAGAAAAACUUGAAAGGUAGGAUUUUUAAAGAAUUCUAAUUGACUUAAUAGGUAGGAAUUGAACAUACGCCGUUUUUUAUCUGAUAUACUUUGGCAACUACAACAUAAGCCACAAAAUUAUGAUCCCUUCAAUAUUAGGUAUGAUUUAUCUCUAUUACCCCAAACACUAUCAGUCGAAAAGGCUUAGCCUCUUGGUGAUAUCAACUCAAAAUUGUAAAAUCCAUAUAGAUAGGAUGUGAUAUUAGUCUGUUCCCAUACUCGAUCGCAUUUCAUAAUCAAUUACAAAAUAAGAAAAACUUGAAAGGUAGGAUUUUUAAAGAAUUCUAAUUGACUUAAUAGGUAGGAAUUUAAAAUACGCCGUUUUUUAUCUGAUAUACUUUGACAACUACAACAUAAGCCACAAAAUUAUGAUCCCUUCAAAAUUAGGUAUGAUUUAUCUCUAUUACCCCAAACACUAUCAGUCGAAAAGGCUUAGCCUCUUGGGAAAAUCAACUCAAAAUUGUAAAAUCCAAAUAGGUAGGGGUGAUACUAAACUGUUCCCGUUCACGAUAUUUUAGCAACUACAACAUAAGCAACAAAAAUAUGAACCCUUCAAUAAUAGGUAUAAUUUAUCUCUAUUACCCCAGUAAUAAUCAGUCGAAAGGGCUUAUCAUCUCGGUAAAAUCAACUCAAAAUUGUAAAAUCCAUAUAGGUAGGGGUGAUAUUGAACUGUUCCCUUUCACGAUACUUCAGGAACUGCAACAUAAACCGCAAUAAUAUGAACCCUUCAAUAAUAGGUAUGAUUUAUCUCUAUUACCCCAAACAUUAUCAGUCGAAAAUGCUUAGCCUCUUGGUAAAAUCAACUCAAAAUUGUAAAAUCCAUAUAGGUUGGAUGUGAUAUUUAACUGUUCCCAUACAUGAUCGCGUUUCAUAAUAAACUACAAAAUAAGAAAAACUUGAAAGGUAGGAUUUAUGAAGAAUUCUAAUUGACUUAAUAGGUAGGAAUUGAACUUACGCUGUUUUUUAAAUGGUAUACGUCGGCAACUACAACAUAAGCCACAAUAAUAUGAACCCUUCAAUAUUAGGUAUGAUUUAUCUCUAUUACCCCAAACAUUAUCAGUCGAAAAGGCUUAGCCUCUUGGUAAAAUUAACUUAAAAUUGUAAAAUCCAUAUAGGUUGGAUGUGAUAUUUAACUGUUCCCAUACAUGAUCGCGUUUCAUAAUCAACUACAAAAUAAGAAAAACCUAAAAGGUAGGACUUAUAAAUAAUUCUAAUUGACUUAUUAGGUAGGAAUUGAACUUACGCUGUUUUUGAUAUGGUAUACGUCGGCAACUACAACAUAAGCCACAAUAAUAGGUAUAAUUUAACUCGAUUAUCCCAAACAUAAUCAGUCGAAAAGCCUUAGCCUCUUGGUGAUAUCAACUCAAAAUUGUAAAAUCCAUAUAGAUAGGAUGUGAUAUUAGUCUGUUCCCAUACUCGAUCGCAGUUCAUAAUCAAUUACAAAAUAAGAAAAACUUGAAAGGUAGGAUUUUUAAAGAAUUCUAAUUGACUUGAUAGGUAGGAAUUGAACAUACGCCGUUUUUUAUCUGAUAUACUUUGGCAACUACAACAUAAGCCACAAAAUUAUGAUCCCUUCAAUAUUAGGUAUGAUUUAUCUCUAUUACCCCAAACACUAUCAGUCGAAAAAGGCUUAGCCUCUUGGGAAAAUCAACUCAAAAUUGUAAAAUCCAAAUAGGUAGGGGUGAUACUAAACUGUUCCCAUUCACGAUACUUCAGCAACUACAACAUAAACCGCAAUAAUAUGAACCCUUCAAUAAUAGGUAUGAUUUAUCUCUAUUACCCCAGUAAUAAUCAGUCGAAAGGGCUUAUCAUCUCGGUAAAAUCAACUCAAAAUUGUAAAAUCCAUAUAGGUUGGAUGUGAUAUUUAACUGUUCCCAUACAUGAUCGCGUUUCAUAAUAAACUACAAAAUAAGAAAAACUUGAAAGGUAGGAUUUAUAAAAAAUUCUAAUUGACUUAAUAGGUAGGAAUUGAACUUACGCUGUUUUUUAUAUGGUAUACGUCGGCAACUACAACAUAAGCCACAAUAAAGAAUUCUAAUUGACUUAAUAGGUAGGAAUUGAACUUACGCCGUUUUUUAUAUGAUAUACUUCGGCAACUACAACAUGAGCCACAAUAAUA
rnacentral:sRNA from 1 species